UCUAAUAUACUGGUUAAGCAAGAUGAAAUGCAAGAUUGUGUAUGCUUUAAGGGAACGCCUAUAAAGCAUUAUCUAAAGAACGGGUCACCAGUCAUUUCUCUCAAAAAGAAAUAAUCGAGUUUUAUUCGUGAAUUGAAAGGAUCCUGUGUUUUCUGCUUUUAGGUUCGAAGUAUGCAAACUUAAAUUAAGUAGUUAUAUGUUAGUGCUCUUGAACAGCUCGGCCGGCCAUCAUGUCAACAUCCGACCCACUUAAGCUUCUCAUUGUGAGCAGUGGUGCUGUGGGCAAGUCUGUCCUCACCCUGUAAUUUAUGUACGGUGAUUCUAUUGAGUAUUUCGAGCUGACCAAGGUGUCUUAUCUCCUAGUAAGAAAAUAAUGCUUGACGGUAAGGAGCUUUCGAUACGGCUGGUCAGGAAGAGUAUUCUAGCGUGACAGGUGAAGCUUUUUCGUUGCUUUUCUUUUUAAUCGAAUCAGACACGUUCAAAGCUGCAAACGAGUUUCCAGGGUACAUCCUGCGAGAUAGAGGCAAUGAAACCGUACUUACUUUUUUGUCGGGCACAAAGUCGAUGUGGAGUAUCAAUGAUAGGUAUUCAGGUGGCUCUUAUAUUUGAGUGACCUUAUUUAAGUGUGAUGUACAGGUGUCGCAUGCGAACGCUGAGGUUUUGGCGUCGCAAUGGAGAGUCGAUUCCGGAGUAUAUCGCUAACACAGUGGACAACGUAGCAUAGGCGUACUACACGGCAAUAUUAUGAGUUCUGUUUAUUCGACAUCGUUCAUUGCUUUAAAUAACAAACAAAGAAAUUAAACUUUGACGUGUUAAUUAUUAAAAAAUUAAUGAGCACGGGCUCUCACCUGAAAUUCAAAUACCAGUAAAUAAUUAAAUAAUGUACGACCUCUCGACUGCACAAACCUGAACCUAAUAUGCAGAUAUCACCGCUUAAUAGUAAAUUGUAACAAUUUCAUUUCGGAUAUGAAAU